rnacentral:rRNA from 1 species
UACGUAGGGGGCAAGCGUUGUCCGGAAUCAUUGGGCGUAAAGCGCGUGUAGGCGGCUCGAUAAGUCCGCUCUGAAAGCCCGGGACUCGAACCCCGGGAGGCGGGCUGGAUACUGUCGAGCUCGAGUCCGGAAGAGGCAAGUGGAAAUUCCCGGGUGAUGACGCGGGUGAAAUGACGCAGAUAUCGGGAGGAACACCAAUGGCGAAGGCAGCUUGCUGGGACGGUACUGACGCUGAGACGCGAAAGCGUGGGGAGCAAACAGG